rnacentral:lncRNA from 1 species
GGCUGACUCUCUUUUCGGACUCAGCCCGCCUGCACCCAGGUGAAAUAAACAGCCUUGUUGCUCACACAAACGUGCAUGAAAUUUGGUACUGUGACCCGGAUCAGAGUACCUCCCUUGGGAGAUGAAUCCCCUGUCCUCCUGCUCUUUGCUCCAUGAGAAAGAUCCACCUAGGACCUCGGGUCCUCAGACCGACCAGCCCAAGGAACAUCUCACCAAUUUCAAAUCUGGACCCCACUGAAAAUCGGACUGUUCAACUCACCUGGCAGCCACUCCCAGAGCCCCUGGAACUCUGGGCCAAGGCUCUCUGACUCCUUCCCAGAUCUUUUCAGCUUAGCAGCUGAAGACUGACACUGCCCAAUCACCUCAGAAGCCCCCUAGACCAUCACGGAUGCCGAGCUUCAAGUAACUCUCACAGUGGAGGAAACGCGCAUGAAACAAACAAACAAAAAAACUCUUUUGGUAGCAGAAUAAAAAAACAAAAAAAGGACUUGUUCUUUUGGACUGAACUGUAUUUAAAUCUCAAAGGAUGGACAUCUCACAACCUUCCUACAGCAAGUACUGUGAGUUAAUAAUUGAUUAUUAUAUUAUUAAAAUUAUUGAAGCUGGAACUCAGAUUUCCAUUUUACAUUUACAUAUAUAAUUAUUCUAUUAAUGGAUUCUAGCUGAAAUAAAAAAACAACAUGAGUCAUUGGGGCAGGGGGUGAGAUCGAUGACCUCUGGAGAUUGACCCCAGUGUUCUGAUAGAGUUAGCUUCUGUUAUCAGGUGCUAUAGCUUUUCAUAGUGAUGCUGCUAGAGCCUACUCAAGGAUUGGACUCAUUCUAUUGUUCCAUGAAUGCCAGUUCUGCAGAAGCCACUGUGGUAGAAAUUCAAAUGUAAUGAAAAACAAACAUUCACUCAUUUAUUAUCACUAUUUGUCUGCCACAAAGACAGAUUUUGAGGAAGAUACACAAACGAAUAAAAAUGUGUUUGCCAUUUGAAGGGAAA